UACGGGGGGAGCAAGCGUUGUUCGGAUUUACUGGGCGUAAAGGGCGCGUAGGCGGCGCAACAAGUCACUUGUGAAAUCUCCGGGCUUAACCCGGAGCGGUCAAGUGAUACUGUCGUGCUAGAGUGCGGAAGGGGCUACUGGAAUUCUCGGUGUAGCGGUGAAAUGCGUAGAUAUCAAGAGGAACACCUGAGGUGAAGACGGGUUGCUGGGCUGACACUGACGCUGAGGCGCGAAAGCCAGGGGAGCAAACGGG
rnacentral:rRNA from 1 species